rnacentral:rRNA from 1 species
GAUGAACGCUGGCGGCGUGCCUAACACAUGCAAGUCGAGCGCGGUCCCUUUGGUGCUUGCACCAAAGACGACUGAGCGGCGGACGGGUGAGUAACGCGUGGGUAACCUGCCCUGUACAUAUGGAUAACAUGCUGAAAAGCAUACUAAUACAUAAUAACGUACAUUGAAGGCAUCUUCGAUGUACCAAAGCGUUAGCGGUACAGGAUGGACCCGCGUCUGAUUAGCUAGUUGGUGGGGUAAAAGCCUACCAAGGCGACGAUCAGUAGCCGGUCUGAGAGGACGAACGGCCACAUUGGGACUGAGACACGGCCCAA